UAUGGNUCAACCAUAGUGUGCUCUGGAAACUNUCUGACUUGAGUGCAGAAGGGGAGAGUGGAAUUCCAUGUGUAGCGGUGAAAUGCGUAGAUAUAUGGAGGAACACCAGUGGCGAAAGCGGCUCUCUGGUCUGUCACUGACGCUGAGGCUCGAAAGCGUGGGUAGCGAACAGGAUUAGAUACCCUGGUAGUCCACGCCGUAAACGAUGAGUGCUAGGUGUUAGGCCCUUUCCGGGGCUUAGUGCCGGAGCUAACGCAAUAAGCACUCCGCCUGGGGAGUACGACCGCAAGGUUGAAACUCAAAGGAAUUGACGGGGGCCCGCACAAGCGGUGGAGCAUGUGGUUUAAUUCGAAGCAACGCGAAGAACCUUACCAGGUCUUGACAUCCCGAUGCUAUUCUUAGAGAUAGGAAGUUACUUCGGUACAUCGGAGACAGGUGGUGCAUGGUUGUCGUCAGCUCGUGUCGUGAGAUGUUGGGUUAAGUCCCGCAACGAGCGCAACCCUUAUUGUUAGUUGCCAUCAUUAAGUUGGGCACUCUAGCGAGACUGCCGGUAAUAGACCGGAGGAAGGUGGGGAUGACGUCAAAUCAUCAUGCCCCUUAUGACCUGGGCUACACACGUGCUACAAUGGUCGGUACAACGAGUUGCGAGCCGGUGACGGCAAGCUAAUCUCUGAAAGCCGAUCUCAGUUCGGAUUGGAGGCUGCAACUCGCCUCCAUGAAGUCGGAAUCGCUAGUAAUCGCGGAUCAGCACGCCGCGGUGAAUACGUUCCCGGGCCUUGUACACACCGCCCGUCACACCACGAGAGUUUGUAACACCCGAAGUCGGUGAGGUANCCUUUUAGGG
rnacentral:rRNA from 1 species